GACGAACGCUGGCGGCGUGCUUAACACAUGCCAGUCGAACGGAAAGGCCCUGCUUUUGUGGGGUGCUCGAGUGGCGAACGGGUGAGUAACACGUGAGUAACCUGCCCUUGACUUUGGGAUAACUUCAGGAAACUGGGGCUAAUACCGGAUAGGAGCUCCUGCUGCAUGGUGGGGGUUGGAAAGUUUCGGCGGUUGGGGAUGGACUCGCGGCUUAUCAGCUUGUUGGUGGGGUAGUGGCUUACCAAGGCUUUGACGGGUAGCCGGCCUGAGAGGGUGACCGGCCACAUUGGGACUGAGAUACGGCCCAGACUCCUACGGGAGGCAGCAGUGGGGAAUAUUGCACAAUGGGCGGAAGCCUGAUGCAGCAACGCCGCGUGCGGGAUGACGGCCUUCGGGUUGUAAACCGCUUUCGCCUGUGACGAAGCGUGAGUGACGGUAACGGGUAAAGAAGCACCGGCUAACUACGUG
rnacentral:rRNA from 1 species